AAAUUGAAGAGUUUGAUCAUGGCUCAGAUUGAACGCUGGCGGCAGGCCUAACACAUGCAAGUCGAACGGUAACAGGAAGCAGCUUGCUGCUUUGCUGACGAGUGGCGGACGGGUGAGUAAUGUCUGGGAAACUGCCUGAUGGAGGGGGAUAACUACUGGAAACGGUGGCUAAUACCGCAUAACGUCGCAAGACCAAAGAGGGGGACCUUCGGGCCUCUUGCCAUCAGAUGUGCCCAGAUGGGAUUAGCUUGUUGGUGAGGUAACGGCUCACCAAGGCGACGAUCCCUAGCUGGUCUGAGAGGAUGACCAGCCACACUGGAACUGAGACACGGUCCAGACUCCUACGGGAGGCAGCAGUGGGGAAUAUUGCACAAUGGGCGCAAGCCUGAUGCAGCCAUGCCGCGUGUAUGAAGAAGGCCUUCGGGUUGUAAAGUACUUUCAGCGGGGAGGAAGGUGUUGCGGUUAAUAACCGCAGCAAUUGACGUUACCCGCAGAAGAAGCACCGGCUAACUCCGUGCCAGCAGCCGCGGUAAUACGGAGGGUGCAAGCGUUAAUCGGAAUUACUGGGCGUAAAGCGCACGCAGGCGGUCUGUCAAGUCGGAUGUGAAAUCCCCGGGCUCAACCUGGGAACUGCAUUCGAAACUGGCAGGCUUGAGUCUUGUAGAGGGGGGUAGAAUUCCAGGUGUAGCGGUGAAAUGCGUAGAGAUCUGGAGGAAUACCGGUGGCGAAGGCGGCCCCCUGGACAAAGACUGACGCUCAGGUGCGAAAGCGUGGGGAGCAAACAGGAUUAGAUACCCUGGUAGUCCACGCCGUAAACGAUGUCUACUUGGAGGUUGUGCCCUUGAGGCGUGGCUUCCGGAGCUAACGCGUUAAGUAGACCGCCCGGGAGUACGGCCGCAAGGUUAAAACUCAAAUGAAUUGACGGGGGCCCGCACAAGCGGUGGAGCAUGUGGUUUAAUUCGAUGCAACGCGAAGAACCUUACGGUCUUGACAUCCACAGAACUUUCCAGAGAUGGAUUGGUGCCUUCGGGAACUGUGAGACAGGUGCUGCAUGGCUGUCGUCAGCUCGUGUUGUGAAAUGUUGGGUUAAGUCCCGCAACGAGCGCAACCCUUAUCCUUUGUUGCCAGCGAUUAGGUCGGGAACUCAAAGGAGACUGCCAGUGAUAAACUGGAGGAAGGUGGGGAUGACGUCAAGUCAUCAUGGCCCUUACGACCAGGGCUACACACGUGCUACAAUGGCGCAUACAAAGAGAAGCGACCUCGCGAGAGCAAGCGGACCUCAUAAAGUGCGUCGUAGUCCGGAUUGGGAGUCUGCAACUCGACUCCAUGAAGUCGGAAUCGCUAGUAAUCGUGGAUCAGAAUGCCACGGUGAAUACGUUCCCGGGCCUUGUACACACCGCCCGUCACACCAUGGGAGUGGGUUGCAAAAGAAGUAGGUAGCUUAACCUUCGGGAGGGCGCUUACCACUUUGUGAUUCAUGACUGGGGUGAAGUCGUAACAAGGUAACCGUAGGGGAACCUGCGGUUGGAUCACCUCCUUACCUUAAAGAAGC
rnacentral:rRNA from 1 species